rnacentral:rRNA from 1 species
CCUACGGGCGGCAGCAGUGGGGAAUAUUGCACAAUGGGGGAAACCCUGAUGCAGCGACGCCGCGUGAGUGAAGAAGGAAUUCGUGAUGUAAAGCUCUAACAGCAGGGAAGAAAAGGACGGUACCUGAGUAAGAAGCCCCGGCUAACUACGUGCCAGCAUCCGCGGUAAUACGUAGGGGGCAAGCGUUAUCCGGAUUUACUGGGUGUAAAGGGAGCGUAGACGGCAGGGCAAGUCUGGAGUGAAAGGCGGGGGCUCAACCCCCGGACUGCUCUGGAAACUGUACGGCUGGAGUGCAGGAGAGGUCAGUGGAAUUCCUUGUGUAGCGGUGAAAUGCGUAGAUAUUAGG